GCCAUUGAGAGAGAUCCGCAAAUGCCGGCCUAGGAAAUGCAAAUUGUGUGGAAAGCGAGGACAAAAUCAUGAUAGUAGAAAUUGCCCUCUAAAGUUGUCGAGUGAUUCAAUGGAACAAGAUAAUAUUGAUGAAGCCACUGAUGAUUUAGAAGAUUCCUUUGAGGAAGAUGAAGUUCUCACUAUUGCGUGAAGUUUGAUCAAGGUUGGCGGAGUAAAAUUCAAGGACAAGACAUCGUUGGGGAAAUGGCC